rnacentral:lncRNA from 1 species
GGGGAGAGUGACAUGUGGUUCAACAAGACCUGCAAUGAAGCAGAUUCCUAAAGAUUGUGGGCUGAGAUAAUAAAGCCUUACAAGAACAAAACUAUCAACCAAGAUUCUAUUCCCAGCAAAACUAACCUUCAGAAAUAAAUGAAUUCAGACAUCCCAGGGCACACCAACUGUUCUCCAGAAGAGGACAUGCAUGCAUCAGGCCACAAAAUAAACGCAAUUUAGAAACCAUUUAAAAUGUUAUUGAUGAGACAGAGCCUUGAAAAGCAGCCUCAAGCUACUGCGUGGUCCUCUUGUUGGCCAAAAGAUGAUGUCCAGCCCAGCACCAAUUUCAGAGACAUAAAUAAGAGCAUGGUUUCUAGGUCAAGGAGCUACUUGGAACUUAGUGAUGAAAUCAAGUUCUGUGCAAAUAUUCCUGAGAGUGUAAUGGAGAGAUCAGCUCCAGCCAGAGCGCACAGGCAAGUCCUCUCCAUUCCUUUCCAUUCUAAUUCCUCUCAGGAUGGGCUUGGUCUGGUGUACUCCUCUAAUAAUGAUCUCAUGUAUCAGGAAGUAUGGUGAGGGCAGCUGGUGGACAGAUACUCUGCUCUCCAGGGAGAAUUCAGAAGAGGCUGUUGGAUCCCAUGGAACUGCAGUUAUAGAUAGUAGUGAGUAGCUACAUAGGUACUAUACCAGAGGGGUGUGUCCCCUGCUCUUCACUCUGACCAGAUAUGUGAGAGAGGGUGAAGGGAUCUUUCUGGAAGAUGAAGUUUCUAUUGUGUUUUCCCUGGACGUGAGAUAUUUUCACCAGUAUCUACUGUACGAGACAAGAACAUGCAAGGCUGUGAAAAUGUGGAAGGGACUCACUGAGCAGAGGAUGCAGAUUGGUUUGAAGUUUGCAAAGAGGAACUCAGAGGGAGACAAACAACUCACCACAGGGCUCUGGGUGAAGUCACCUGACUGUUUCAGAAACUGUUCCCAUUAUGACACCUGUCAGAAUGUCCCACUGCCCGAGAGCUAGGCAGGUGCUGUGGGGCCCACUGACCUACUGACCUACUGACCUACUGACCCACCAGAUUGUAUACACUGCAGCCUAGUCCUCCCUUGCCUAUUGAGACCACCUUUGAACUGAAGUCUCCAAUGAGGUUCACAUUCCAUGAAGAGAGCACAGAGCCUGUUUAUGAUGGUUCGAAUAUACUUGGACCAGGAAGUGGCACUAUUAGGAAGUGUGGCCUUGUUGGAGGAAGUGUAUCAUUGUAAGUAUGAGCUUUAAGACCCUCAUCCUAGCUCCUUAGAUGCCAGUCUUCUCUUGUUUGCCUUCAGAACAAAAUGUAGAACUCUCAACCUCGGUGAUAAUGGAUUGAAACUCUGAACCUAUAAGCCAGCCCCAAUUAGAUGC